CUGGAUCUCUGACCAUCACAAACAUCACAACUGAACAUGCUGGACGUUAUUUACUGCAUUUAGGACCAAAACAUUUAAAUCUAAACCUGUCAUUAAAAGCUUUCAGUGUUUCUGUCUCUGACUCUGUCCACUGCUGUGGUUCUACUGAAGCUGUGAUCCGAUUGGUCCUCUCUGCUCUGGUGGGCGUGGCUACUGUCAUUCUUCUGGCUUAUGACAUCAGAAGAACUGAACAAAAUCAACCACAGAUUCACACAUCAGGUAUUGAAAUCUGAAGGAGACGCUGAACUUUAAAACUUCUCCAAGUGUGUUUUGUGUUGUUUGAUUAAUAGUUGCUUUACUUGUAUGAUUCAUUAUAUCAGGUUUUCAUAUUUGAUUCAGGGUUUAAGGGCUUUUAAAAUGUAAUUCUAUAAUAAUGUUUUUAUUGUACAGAUGCAGUUUAAAAGCUUGUUGAUUAUAUUUCUCUCAGAUAAGACUCUGAUCUCACUGUACUAUUCAUUUGUUUUCUGUAUUUGCUUGCCUUUAUCAAUAAAGUUUUCUCA